rnacentral:rRNA from 1 species
CCCUACGGGGGGCAGCAGUGAGGAAUAUUGGUCAAUGGUCGGGAGACUGAACCAGCCAAGCCGCGUGAGGGAUGAAGGUACAGAGUAUCGUAAACCUCUUUUGUCAGGGAACAAAGGCGGGGACGUGUCCCCGGAUGAGUGUACCUGAAGAAAAAGCAUCGGCUAAUUCCGUGCCAGCAGCCGCGGUAAUACGGAGGAUGCGAGCGUUAUCCAGAUUUAUUGGGUUUAAAGGGUGCGCAGGCGGUCUGUUAAGUCAGCGGUCAAAGCCCGGGGCUCAACCCCGGCCCGCCGUUGAAACUGGCAGU